rnacentral:misc_RNA from 2 species
CUACCUUAUCGUGGGGGAUAACGUAGGGAAACUUACGCUAAUACCGCAUACGACCUACGGGUGAAAGCAGGGGACCUUAGGGCCUUGUGCGAUUGGAUGAGCCGAUGUCCGAUUAGCUAGUUGGUGAGGUAAAGGCUCACCAAGGCGACGAUCGGUAGCUGGUCUGAGAGGAUGAUCAGCCACACUGGAACUGAGACACGGUCCAGACUCCUACGGGAGGCAGCAGUGGGGAAUAUUGGACAAUGGGCGCAAGCCUGAUCCAGCUAUGCCGCGUGGGUGAAGAAUGCCUUCGGGUUGUAAAGCCCUUUUGUUGGGGAAGAAAAGCAAUUGGUUAAUACCUAGUUGUUAUGACGGUACCCAAAGAAUAUGCACCGGCUAACUUCGUGCCAGCAGCCGCGGUAAUACGAAGGGUGCAAGCGUUACUCGGAAUUACUGGGCGUAAAGGGUGCGUAGGUGGUUAUUUAAGUCUGUUGUGAAAGCCCUGGGCUUAACCUGGGAAUGGCAGUGGAUACUGGAUAGCUAGAGUGUGGUAGAGGGUAGCGGAAUUCCU